CACCGCGGUUAAACGAGAGGCUCAAGUUGAUAGUCUUCGGCGUAGAGCGUGGUUAAGGGACUAAGAAACUAAAGCCGAAUUUUCUCAUGGCUGUUAUACGCACCCGAGAAUAUGAAGCCCAGAUACGAAAGUUGCUUUAAACAACCUGACCCCACGAAAGCUGUGGAACAAACUGGGAUUAGAUACCCCACUAUGCACAGCCGUAAACUUUGAUAAUAAUUUACAAUAUUAUCCGCCCGGGAACUACGAGCGUAAGCUUAAAACCCAAAGGACUUGGCGGUGCUUUAGAUCCACCUAGAGGAGCCUGUUCUAGAACCGAUAAUCCCCGUUAAACCUCACCCCUUCUCGUCAUUUCCGCCUAUAUACCGCCGUCGUCAGCCCACCCUGUGAAGGAACUAUAGUGAGCUUAAUUGGUAAAGCCCAAAACGCCAGGUCAAGGUGUAGCAUAUGAAGGGGAUAGAAAUGGGCUACAUUUCCUCUUUAAGGAUACACGGAUUGUAAUAUGAAACAAUUACAUGAAGGAGGAUUUAGUAGUAAGUGAAAAAUAGAGUGUUUCACUGAAUACGGCUCUGAAGCGCGCACACACCGCCCGUCACCCUCCCCAAGCUCAGACACAAAAUUUUUAAUACCCCAAAGAGAGCAAAGGGGAGGCAAGUCGUAACAUGGUAAGUG
rnacentral:rRNA from 1 species